rnacentral:rRNA from 1 species
GACGAACGCUGGCGGCGUGCUUAACACAUGCAAGUCGAGCGGAAAGGCCACUUCGGUGGUACUCGAGCGGCGAACGGGUGAGUAACACGUGAGUAAUCUGCCCCUGGCUUUGGGAUAGCCACCGGAAACGGUGAUUAAUACCGGAUACGACCACUUCUCGCAUGGGAUGGUGGUGGAAAGUUUUUCGGCCAGGGAUGUGCUCGCGGCCUAUCAGCUUGAUGGUGAGGUAAUGGCUCACCAUGGCUUCGACGGGUAGCCGGCCUGAGAGGGUGACCGGUCACACUGGGACUGAGACACGGCCCAGACUCCUACGGGAGGCAGCAGUGGGGAAUAUUGGACAAUGGGCGGAAGCCUGAUCCAGCAACGCCGCGUGAGGGAUGACGGCCUUCGGGUUGUAAACCUCUUUCAGCAGGGACGAAGCGCAAGUGACGGUACCUGCAGAAGAAGCACCGGCCAACUACGUGCCAGCCGCCGCCGUAACAC